UCGAAAACACGAAGGUAUUUUUCCCCUUCCUGUCCCAACCCCCCGAGAGCUGGGAGACAAACUGGGAUUAGAUACCCCCCUAUGCCCUGCCGGAAACUUAAAUAUCUCAAUACAAUAGAUAUCCGCCAGGGGACUACGAGCGCUAUCUUAAAACCCAAAGGACUUGGCGGUGCUUCAGACCCCCCUAGAGGAGCCUGUUCUAAUA
rnacentral:rRNA from 1 species